rnacentral:rRNA from 1 species
UACGAAGGGGGCUAGCGUUGCUCGGAAUCACUGGGCGUAAAGCGCACGUAGGCGGCGUCUUAAGUCAGGGGUGAAAUCCUGGAGCUCAACUCCAGAACUGCCUUUGAUACUGAGAUGCUUGAGUCCGGGAGAGGUGAGUGGAACUGCGAGUGUAGAGGUGAAAUUCGUAGAUAUUCGCAAGAACACCAGUGGCGAAGGCGGCUCACUGGCCCGGUACUGACGCUGAGGUGCGAAAGUGUGGGGAGCAAACAGG